UACGUAGGGGGCGAGCGUUGUCCGGAUUCAUUGGGCGUAAAGCGCGGGCAGGCGGCCCGCUCAGUCGGCCGUGAAAGCGCCGGGCUCAACUCGGCGAGGUCGGGCGAUACUGGCGGGCUCGAGGCUGGUAGAGGGCGGUGGAAUUCCGGGUGUAGUGGUGGAAUGCGUAGAGCUCCGGAGGAACACCAGUGGCGAAGGCGGCCGCCUGGGCCAGUCCUGACACUGAGGCACGAAAGCUAGGGGAGCAAACAGG
rnacentral:rRNA from 1 species